AUGGGUUCCUGUCCCAGGUCUCCGCUUUGGAGUUUAGGUGCCGCUUGUUUGAUGGGUAUUGUUGUUGGACAAAUGACCACUGCCCAGGUCUCUACGGGAUCACCACUGGUAUCUGCUGAUGUUUCGUCAGCUGCUCCAAAUGCAACCACUGUCGGGGUCUCUACGGUAUCAACUACAGCUGUGACAGUAACAGCUGAAGUGCUGUCAACCACUACAAACCCCACGGUGCCAUCUGCCACAACAGUAUCUGCUGAGGUUUCAUCCACCACCCGAACUGCAAGGGUGUCCACUAUUCCAAAUAGUACCACUGUUCAGGUUUCUCCAGGACCAACAUCAGCUGUGACAGAGUUGGCUGGGGUAACAUCAGCUACCCCCCGUGGCACAGUACCUACCAGCAUGCUAUCUACUGCUCCAAACGUGACAGCAUCUGCUGGGGUUCCAUCAGCUACUCCAUUUGUAAGCACCAUGGAGUCCACAAACUGCAGUGCAGUGAACACAACAGCGUGUACAGCUUGUUCACCAGGAACGUUUCCCAGCAAUGAGACAUUGGGUUGUUUCUGCUGCUCAGAGGGCUCCUGCGCAGAACCUAUUGAUUGCAUCUCCUGUCCAGUGGGUCACUAUCAGCCUCUAGCUGGACAACUGUCCUGUCUGCUUUGCCCACAAGGAUAUUACACUAAUUUAAUGAAAAGUGUUGCAUGCCUGCCCUGUCAGCCUGGCUCUUAUUCCAAUGAGUCUGGGGCACCAGCUUGCACACCGUGUGGAAAAGGGCAUUUCAGCUUCCAGAACAAUUCAGCAUUCUGCAUGCCCUGUCCACACGGAUCAUUUUGCAAUACUACCAACUGCAGCAAGUGUACAAUUUGCCCCACUGGAGAAGAGGCCCUUACAGAAGCAUCUGAAGAAUGUGCACCUUGUCUGCCAGGUACAUAUAAAGGCCCCAGCGACAGCAAAUGUGAGAUCUGCAAUAUAGGAGAAUACCAAGUACAAAGGGGCAAGGAGAGCUGUGACAAAUGCCCAGAAAAUUAUUACUGUCCUGUAAGUCUCUCUAAGCUGCAGCAGUGAGCCCAGAUGUGAACCCAAUUGCAUGUCCUUCUAAUGCCUUCUGCCCAGCUGGGAGCACUCAACCACAAUAUUGUAUGGAAACAUUUCUUUAUAAGGCAGGAAACUCUUGUGAACUGGCUCCUCUAACCAUUGUAUUACUAGCUGUUUCUUCAGCAGGUGAGUAGUAUUUAUGCUAUAGUAAAAGUGGAAUACAUUCCACCUGCAGCUUGGGUAACUUCUUGUUUAACAGUGGAGGUGUCCCCUUGGUGGUAUAUUCUUGACUAGUUUUCUGACAUCUUCAUUUCUUGUGUGGGUUCUCUUCUUUUGGCCACUGCUUGUUCCUUGCAUUUUUGUUUACAGAGGAAUUAAUUUUUUGUGCCUUAAUUAUGGUGCCUCCUAGGAUUCUCUAGUCUAUUUUUAGUAGAUUUCUUAAUAUCCCUAAAAUAUUGUCCAAAAGCACAAUAGUACAGUAUGAUAAAAAUAUGAGACAGCAGCUUUAAAGACACAAGAAUAGCAAGGGGUUGCUGUCAGAGCUCUAGUCACCACUUGCCUAGUCAAGGGUGCAACAUUUGACAAUAGUCAGUGGGUUGUUCCAUGUUGCUGCAUUACAGCUGUUACAUAUUGGCACAUUUCUGAAGCAGGCCAAAGAUGGUGCCUGUGCUUUAGUGGAGGGUGCCCUAAUAAUCAGAGGGAAAGAAGCUGAACACCUGAUAGUUUGUAGAGACACGCUGUGUGAUCCAUUUAGAAAUUCUGUGAUGAGGUGGCUUGGCCGUUCAAUAAGCCAGAUAUAGCCACUGAGAUGAGGAGACAGACUAAAAAGGUCUAGUCCUGUCCUGGUAACAGAAUAAAGCUCUGCAAACAUCCCUCA
ensembl:lncRNA